GGCCAGAGAUUGUCAUUCAAGACAUCUGGAGGCACUAGGUAGGCGAAUAUCAGUAUUGGGUCUGGUGUCAAUCAGUUAUCUUUACUAAUGAAUUGGCUGAAGGAGUCAGCAGUACACUAAUCAAAUUCAUAGAUGAUACAAAAUGAAAAAGGGCUGUAGAGACUUCAGGAGUUGGGCUACAUUCCCAACUUAAUAUCAAACUCUAUAUUAAAUGAAGCAUGAAUUAAUUCCCAUAAUUUUUAAGAAAAACCAGCUAUGUUAUGCUGUGCCAUUAAAGUCUUACACAGUUUGAGACUGCAUUAACAGAAGCUUCGUUUCCAAAACCUGGGAGCAAAUAUUACAGUUUUAUUGACCAAUAGCUGAACCUCACCUGAAGCGUUUGGAUCAAUUCUGGGCACCACAGCAUACCAAAGAGUUGGAAAAGAUUCAGAGAAAAGAGGAAAAAAGGAUCAAGAAAAUGAAAAAUACUUGGAAAGAAUUUGUUGGAGGUAUUCCAAAACGAGAAGAAAGGCAAUUCUAUCUUAUAUAUUCUAUCUUAGAGCAAAGAAUUGGGAUAGGUAUGCCAACUUUCAUGAGUCAACAAUACUUUUCAGAAAGUUCAUUGUGGAAGGCAAAGCUGCCAAAUGUGUUUCUCAAGCAUUCCAAUAGUAUCUUAGUGACAACAAAGGAAGUACCGUAAGUGCAUAUACAUGAACAUACCGCCAUUUACAGUAUAGUGUAAAAUGUAGGGCUGUAUAUGCCUCUUCCCCCUGAAUCCAGUUUGGAGCAUGAUUCAACCCAGGAUAACCCUGACCUAAGCUGGCCUAAUCUAGGGACUGACCCGAAAUGUGGCUUUAAAUCCAAAUUAAACAUGUGCUCUAUGACAAGGGUGGGCGGAGAAGGAGACACAGAGCCUUUUGCCAGCGCUGCCUUCUCUCCUCUCCAUAUCACCUGUUUAUUUGAUGUUUCAAUCUCUAAUUAAACAUGGCGGCAGUGGCAAGGAGAGGGUGAAAGGAGAAAGAGGCAGAGAUUUUCACUUGGAUCUGGUUCUCCCUCCUCUGACCACAUGUUCAGCACCCUAAUUAAACAUGCAGUCAGUGGCAGCCAGGGAGGCAGGGAAAAAAGACAGUUUCUUGUCUUUGGCGAUCACUCGUAGCGAGUAAGAGUCAUUCGGCUCAUGCGAUGGCUUACUUAGAUACAGCCCCAAACCAUGAUGGAAGGUUUUCUCUUUGCUUCACUCACUUCAUUCCAUAACUAAAAGCAGCUCCAAAAUAUAAAAAAUAUGAAAGUAUCUCCUAUACUGAGUUAUGAUGAUGCUCCCAUAGUGAGUUAUGAAGUAUGCUUUUUUAACAGCUUCUGAUUUGAGCUAUGAAUAUUUUUAUUUCCAAAGGCAACCUGAACUAUGAAUGUGUUGACAUUUUGCUGUUACUGUUUGUUAUCGGUUAAGAAUUUGAUCUUGCCAUUGGUUAUUAAUUAUGUCAAGGAUGUGUCUUAUGUCCUCUUGUCCUUGCCCUCACUGUGGCUUUAAACUAAAAGAAAGAAAAGCAAGCUCAUUUAUGUCCAGAAUCCCAGGCAACAUGCAUUCAGUGUGCUAAUCCCUGUGAAUGCACAACUCUUCCCCAUGUAUGCAUAUAGGCAAAAGAUGUGUGCAGUGACAUCUGCACAUAACCAGUCUGCAAAUAUGAGCUUCUAUGUGCUUGAAUCAUUUUUGUUUUGUUUCGUUUGCUACUGCAAAAUGGUUUCAGGCAAAGCAUCCAGACUUUAGCUACUGUUUGUGAAGACAAAAUGUCCACUGGGAUGAAUAGGAGUUAUGGCUUUGUCUUCAGGACUAGACUUUAGCAUCAAAGGUGAAUGCUGUCCUACCAUGUCUAAGGUCCAUUUGUUCUACAAUAAACACAUAUUUUAUUGAAGAAUAAAAACCCACAACGAUGCCCGCCUAUUCGAUUGUUAAAAGAUUUUAACACACACUGGAGCAUAGGUUCGGCAUUGUAGCUCAAUGAUGUGUUAUUCUUUUUUUCCAUUGCAUUUCUCUGUGUACAGAAGCCUAUUUUUGAAAGUCCCCAAUGUCUUUCACUUUCCAAGACAUUCCUGUGUCUAGGAGCCAGUUCAAAAAGUCAGAGAAAGAGUUGUGAUAUAUCAUAGAUAGGACUCUGUUCCCCCACUUCAAAAGCUUUUUUGAUCUGGAAAGCUAGGAAGAAGCAUUUUAGCAUAACCUUCUUCCCAAAUGUGCCAGCUUUCUUCACAUGAGGAGUGAGUGCUGGGCAGGCCAGCACCAUUUUGGAGGGCUGGUAGAAGGCAGGCUAGGAGAGAUGGCUGGGGACCCAAUUCUGCACUGCUGUGGGAAACAAAGCCAUGAACCUCCUAGGUAUCUGAGGAUAUGAAGCCAUCUUCUAACAAGAUAAUUAUUCUGUGCAGCACAUUUCCAUGUAUAGUUGUCUGUUUGUUAGAAUAAAGGUGGAAUAUACAUUUUUUGGAUGAACAAGUCAGCAAAUAAAUCAAUAAAUAAAUAAAUGACUGUGGCGUUUGCCCUCCUAGGUGUGUGACAUCAUACGGGGUUCAUAAGGAAAGGGUUAACUAAAUGUAAAAUGACUAACCAAUAGGAACCCAAGGGGAGGAGUUAGAGUUAGGGUGGUUGAGAAGUGAGUCUGGAGUUAGAGAAGAGACUGAGAGGAUAAGUCUGUGAGUUGGGCUAGUCUGGUGUGAGAGAGUGAGAGAAUCUGUUGAGAGGAGUCAGUCAAACAGUUGAGAUAAUAGAUCAGAAGGUAUUAGGAAGGUAUAGGCCGGUAAAGAAACUAAAGUUAAGAAACUGACAAGAAUAUUAUCUGAGAAACCAUAAACUUGUUAAUACUUAUAAAAUAAACUUGUUUAUUUGGUUCAAUGUUAACAACUGUCUGGACUCAGUGUUUUACCUGAGAGUAACGGGUUGGUGGCAGCGGGGAAGCGAGCACAGUGGUGGCACAGGGAUCAAUAGACCGUUAAACGUCCGGGGACCCUGUGUGAACACCACAAUGACCAAAACAUUUAUUUCAACCAAAAUGUGCAGGGGAACACAAAGAUCCACAAUUCACUGCUUAACUUCAUAGAUUAUUCAUUCAUUACCCGAUGGUCCUUACACGUUUCUUCAUCUUACAAGAUUCCUGUUGACAACAAGUGUGGCUGAAAACUAACACGUUCAGCAGGAGAGGUGUCACAUUUAAGGAAUGUAUAAUAAAUGUGUUUUAUAAAACAUAUGCUACAUUUCAGGCCAAAGCUAUUUGAAGCCUGUAUGUUUUAGAAUAGGGUACCUUUAAUGGUAAAGGGGAGGAAGAGAGACGGGGAGAGAAAAUGAGCAGAGACUCAGUAUACCAGGGGCAUCAGAGUGAACACUGUUGGAAAACUGCUGGCUUUUUGCUUGAUCCUGCAAAUCUGUUCCUAUGUCUGUGUUAGAAGCACUGAAUAUAUACUAUUGGGUGUACAUGAAAGCACACUUCUGGAGAAAGCCAAUGGCCCAUUGAGUCCAGCAUCCUGUUCUCAAACCAGAUGAUUGUGGGAAACCUGAAGGCAGCACUGUCUUGCCAAAUCCAAGGUGGUUCUUUUAAAAGGAGAUUCGGAAGUAAUACAAAACACAAGUGAGUGAGAAGAUUAAAUAUGUUAUUCAACACAGCAAGCAAUAUAUACAUACCCAGCAAGCACCCUCAAUCUGCCACCUGGAAUAAUAAUAAUAAUAAUAAUAAUAAUAAUAAUAAUAAUAAUAAUUUAUUAUUUGUACCUCACCCAUCUGGCUGGGUUUCCCCAGCCACUCUGGGCGGCUUCCAACAAAGACCAAAAAUACAGUAAAAUGUCACACAUUAAAAACUUCCCUGAACAGGGCUGCCUUCAGAUGUCUUCUGAAUGUCAGGUAGUUGUUUAUCUCUUUGACAUCUGAUGGGAGGGCUUUCCACAGGGCGGGUGCCACUACCAAGAAGGCCCUCUGCCUGGUUCCCUGUAGCUUUGCUUCUCGCAAUGAGGGAACCACCAGAAGGCCCUCGGCGCUGGACCUCAGCGUCCAGGCAGAACAAUGGGGGUAGAGAUGCUCCUUCAGGUAUACUGGGCCGAGGCUGUUUAGGGCUUUAAAGGGCAACACCAACACUUUGAAUUGUGCUCAGAAACAUACUGGGAGCCAAUGUAGGUCUUUCAAGACCGGUGUUAUGUGGUCUUGGCGGCCGCCCCCAGUCACCAGUCUAGCUGCCGCAUUCUGGAUUAGUUGUAGUUUCCGGGUCACCUUCAAAGGUAGCCCCGCAUAGAGCACAUUGCAGCAGUCCAAGCGGGAGAUAACUAGAGCAUGCACCACUCUGGCGAGACAGUCUGCGGGCAGGUAGGGUCUCAGCCUGUGUACCAGGUGGAGCUGGUAGAUAGCUGCCCUGGAUACAGAACUGGAAGCCCUCAAGAAGUGGUGAAGUGACUCCCAUAGGUAGUCUCAGGUUGCACGGCCCCACGACCAUCAAUCCGUGCACGAGCUUCUCUCAAUCCCUACCCAAAACCAUCCGAUUUAUAGAUAGCUAGAUAGCUAGUAUGACUGGCUACGUGCAAUCAUACGUCACUGUCUACAAGCAGAUUUUUCAUUAGCCACCCUCUCCCAAUGCCUUUCUCCAAACACUGUCCAACAUCAAAGAAGGUACUUAUUACUAUCUCUUCCUUCCAACAGAUUAGGACAUUAAAGGCUGUUCUCAGCCAUCAAAGAGCUUAACAAAAGAUAGGGGAAAGGAAAGAACAGGGGGCAGGAAGGAUAACCAUGUCAGAUCACUAACUCCUCAAAAUAAAAAUAUCUGCUAGAAAAAUGCAACCUGUCCAGCUGACAGAAGUAGUACGACUCAUGCAACACGUUGGCGACUAACAUACACACAAUAAUUGCCAAAAUAAUUAUACAUUCUUUAUCAAUCUUCUGAGAAAAAUACAAAACCUUGUGCAAAGCCACAGAAACUUGCAAACUACCCAGUCUAAGAUGAACUUAUAAUGUCUGAUUUCAAUAGAUUUUUCAAAUGCUUAACCCACCCUUUUGUUUUCUUUAUCUUUUUAGGUAAGUUCAUGAAGAUACCAACAAAAGGUAAGUUUGGUGUUGUUCACAAUACCGAGAGAUGCUAGUGAAGUUGUAAAAAAGGUAAAGGGACCCCUGACCAUUAGGUCCAGUCGUGACCGACUCUGGGGUUGCGGCGCUCAUCUCACUUUACCGGCCGAGGGAGCCCACGUUUGUCCACAGACAGUUUUUUUCCGGGUCAUGUGGCCAGCAGACUAAGCGAAACCAGAGCAGCGCAUGGAAAUGCCAUUUACCUUACCGCCGGAGCGGUACCUAUUUAUCUACUUGCACUUUGACGUGCUUUCAAACUGCUAGGUUGGCAGGACUGCCUUAUAAAAUCUGAAGAAGUAUGAAUUUCUAAGGUUAGCUGUGUGUUGGUUUCCAUAUUGUUUGGGGAAGUGCAAAAUUCACAGUAAAAUACUGAGUGAACCUAAUUUCUAUCCCACCCCUCUUUGUGACUAUGGGGAGAGAGUCCAGAACACGCUCUCCCAACACAUGCCAUGUUUUACUGAGGUUGACCUUGGUGCAUGUGAAAGCCCUCAUAGUUCAUCUACUUUCUGUUUCCACUUCUAGAUAUCUUUAGAAUCUAAAACACUUCCAUUUGGUUGCCUGUUUUCUAGUAUUCCUCAUAUUAGACUUCCACUUUAGCACUCUGUCAGUUCCAUUGAGCCCUUUAUGAUCUUCCCAUCAUAAGUAGGUUCCUCAACACAUCCAUAACCAUGUAUCAUGGAGCUUUCUAGAAGCUGGUUGCUUUUCCCUGAUACACCUCUCCCAGCUCUGAAAGACAGAGGCAGUCAAUCAGCUGCAGCAGAGGUGCCGAAUUGUGCCCAAGAUUGAGAGGGCCUGGCAUGGACUGCAUGCAUGUGGUGUCAUGUGUGAAACACAUGUCAUGUGUGUGGUGUCAUGGCAUGACAUGCAUAUGGCGUCACGUCAUUGGGAGGAGGCUGAGCACAGAGCUCAGCACAGUGCAGCUUCAAUGACCAGUGGCUCCUCCUCUCUCAGGCUGAGGAGGAGCUCGGCUCUGUGCACAGCCCCCUCUGUCCCCUCAACAUUGAGGGGGCCUGGCCCCCUUCAAACAGAUAUUGGGGGCCCCAAAGACACCUCAGCCCCACACAGUUGCCAACACUGAGCUGGAGUGAUAAUCACUGAGUGGUUGAGCAAAUGAUAACCUCAGCACUUCAUGUGCUCCAUCUUCACCACUGAUGGGGUUUCAGUUAUUAUGGAACGACUGCAGUAAGGCUGUGUCGACUGAAUGAGUGGACUGAGAAGAAGCAGAAGAGGAGUGACAGUGGAGCGAAGGAUGAAGGACAGAUAUACACUGAAGUAGGUUGCUAUGAUAAGGACGCGGGUGGCGCUGUGGGUUAAACCACAGAGCCUAUGACUUGCCGAUCAGAAGGUCAGUGGUUCAAAUCCCCGCAACGGGAUGAGCUCCCGUUGUUCGGUCCCUGCUCCUGCCAACCUAGCAGUUCAAAAGCACAUAAAAGUGCAUGUAGAUAAAUAGGUACCGCUCCGGCAGGAAGGUAAACAGUGUUUCCGUGCGCUGCUCUAGUUCGCCAGAAGUGGCUUAAUCAUGCUGGCCACAUGACCUGGAAGCUGUACGCCGGCUCCCUCAGCCAAUAAAGCGAGAUGAGCACUGCAACCCCAGAGUCGGCCACAACUGGACCUAAUGGUCAGGGGUCCCUUUACCUUUAGGUUGCGAUGGGUAAACAUAUGCCAGCCUUUCCCAGCCUGGAGUCCCCCUGAUGUUCUCAUACGACAACUCCCAUCAUCCCUUACCACUGGCCAUUCUGGCUGCAGCUGAUGGGAUUUGGAGUCGAGCAACAUCCAGCAGCACCAGGUUGAGGAAGGCUGCAUGUCUGCGGAAACCACAAAUAUGAAUGAGCUCUAUAUCCCGCUAUUCCUCAAUAGGAUUUAUCAUCGCUCGGGCAAUUGGAGUAAUAUGAUGCAUUGGGGAAUAGAGGUAUUGGAUUUUAAAGGUCCCUUCCUGCUGCCUUCUGGCUUCCUAUCCCAUAGUUGUCUGAGUCAGUGUGAGCACAAAGAGCACUAUCUAUCAGAAGCAGUAAUAUUUCUAGGAGAGCUGACUCAUCAUGGCAAAGAACUCAGAGGCUAGUAACAAGAGCAGGGCACUUUUAAAGUGUAUUUAGUCACCAACUUUUUUAAAUUAAUAAAGUGGGCACACUUUAUUCUACAGCUGGAAAUAGGUUGCUGAUUAAAAAUGGGUUUUCAUCUUCAACUGUGGCUCCUACUUUUAUGUUUUCAAACAUCCUGGCAAAAUGUCUCAGAACAUGUGCUGACUCCUUUGCCAUUGUGAAAGGGACCAGAUUAAGAUUUUAAAAGACGUGGGCCCAAGAAUAUACUGCUUCUGAACAUACAUAGACUGCAUAUUAUAGCCUAAACAUAUGCCACUGAACAGGGACACGGGUGGCGCUGUGGGUUAAACCACAGAGCCUAGGACUUGCUGAUCAGAAGGUCAGUGGUUCGAAUCCCCGUGACGGGGUGAACUCCCGUUGCUCGGUCCCAGCUCCUGCCAACCUAGCAGUUCAAAAGCACGUCAAAGUGCAAGUAGAUAAAUAGGUACUGCUCUGGCGGGAAGGUAAACAGCGUUUCCAUGCGCUGCUCUGGUUCGCCAGAAGCGGCUUAGUCAUGCUGGCCACAUGACCCGGAAGCUGUACGCCGGCUCCCUCAGCCAAUAAAGCGAGAUGAGCGCUGCAACCCCAGAGUGGGCCACGACUGGAUCUAAUGGUCAGGGGUCCCUUUACCUUUACCUAUGCCACUGAAUGCUAACAUUGACUGCCUAGUGGACUAUGGUAGGACUUUUAUAAAGAGCAGAAUGCAAAAAGGCAGAGCAGUUCAUAUGCAUUCAGUUUCGUGGCAUGGGCAUGUUAACCACGUUUAAAACAAAGCCCCUAUCACCUUAGUGCAUUUAUAUGUACUAUAGCCACUCACACAUAUAUGUGCUAUAGCCACACACUUAACAGAGAAAACAGCAAUGGCUUCCCCCCUCCCUGGCUUUGCGUAGCCCCUUGUUCUGGCAGCCACCAGCAAUAUUACAUACUGGCUGUAGUCGUGAAAUUGUAGCUAGUUUGCAAUUCUCUAAGGUUUAUUUGCUCUAAUUUGACUUACGGUAAUACCAGGAUGCAGCUUUUUAAACAACAACACAGGGGGAAUCAAAGGUCGAGCUCACUUGGAGAUCUGCCCUAGGAGUUCUCUUCCCAGAUUCUAGAUCUGCAAGGGUGGCUGACUGUGGCUAUUCAGCAAUGAACUCUCUCCAAAAAGAAAAAGAAUUCAUUUAUUGGGCUGAGUUUGAAACAGGAUCCAAGGUGAACUUUGUUGCAGAUAUUAAUACUGUACAGUUUGAAGAGACUGGAAGCCUAAGAACUGACUUCUUUUGGAAAUGAACCAUUGUCCAGACCCAUAAAAAUAUUAUUCAAACUUUUACAAGCAGAACUCAAAACAAAACACAGGUAUGAAAGAUACAACCACAACAUCCAUACGAUGUAUUGUGCUGUCCAGCAGAGGCUCAGAAUCUUAGAAAAUAUGAAAUAAUCCAAACAGACCUAUAAACUCUCUCUCUCUCUCUCUCUCUCUCUCUCUCUCUCUCUCCACAGCCUGCAUUCCAGCCUCCAGGCUGUUUACUCUCCCUUCAGAAGAGUUUCAUUUACAAAGACUGAAAGGCAACUCCGUUCAAAAUGGUGAUUUGCAACCCAGUACCUUCAUCACAUGAUCUAAGGUUACAACACUCACAUGUUAGCUACCAGAGAACAACUAUCAGUUAAUUAAUAACUCAGAAAGAGCUCAAAGUGCUCUCUUGACUUUAACAUCGCUCCAUGGAAAAUCCACAUGUUAAACCUUUUCACCGAUUCACAUUUAGGUGUCAAUUAAACUCAUUUCAGUGUGAAUUAAACUUAAGAAACUUUGACUACAAUUCUGCUUGAAUACCAUGGGAGACUGUCUUGCAAAAGUCUGAAGCACCUCUUUACUUUCUGCAGCACUGACGAUGACAGGAGCCAACUACUAUGGAGAAUUACUAAAUAUAAGGGAGCAAGGUAGAUCAGGUGAAAACAUUUGUCAGCAUUGUGCAAGUGCAGAGUUGUACACCAAAGAAAGUUUCACAUUUCUAACCAACACUCAUUUCAGCACCUUCUCUUAAGGUCCGAAAACUCAUCCCAGUUUUAUAAUUGGUGAUAAAUAUAUAUUUUAACAGCUCACUUUUUCCUAUGAAAUGAAUAUGGAGACUUGCUAAUUAAGGUUAGAUAGGUACACACUGCUCUGGCUUUCUUAACGUUCAUCAUGUUAUCUGCAGCUAAGAUGCCUUUCUGCAGAGACACCUAAAAGUCUAUUCACCAGCAGAGUUGUAGAGACCAUUUCUUGUUUCGAAUGGGCUCCUCAGCAAAACAUAGCUUUCCCCCCACCCCAUAAGCUUUACAUCAAAAGCACACAGCAGGUAAACAAUUGUCUGCUUCCACAGUGCAAAGUCAUUACAGGAGUUACUAGACUGCUUCCAGUACCAGGCAUCAAAGUGACUUGUCACAUUCAGCAGAAACUCUAGAAGUCGUAUAUGACAUAUUUUUACAGACAGUUCCAACCUUCGCAGGAGAUCUGCUGUAGAGUCGCACGCAUGAAUUCACAAAAGCCAAAGCUUAUAACCCACAACUCCUGCAGCUUAAAAGAACUGGAACACUACUUGAUGAAAUAACUUUUCAUACUUGAACAUCAAAAGAAGAAGAAAUGAAGUACUGCUAAUGACUUCAUAGGGAGGGCGAGGAAGUGAAGCUUGGCUGGCCACUACCCACUGUUUCUUCCAAAUCACCCACUGUCAAAAAUCCGUUUUCUGACCUUGGUUCUUAAUGUGAUCAUUUGGACCAUUCCUGUUCUCUAGAAACACUUAUGCAGAAAGCAAACAUGGGUAAAAUAUAGGGAUGUGGAAUUAGCCACAUGUCCUACAUCAGGAUAGUUCUCUAUAUGAAGGGCUGUCACAUGGCAUUCUUCUAUAGAAGGUGUCCUCUACUUGAAGGGUUGCCCAGUGGAAGUCCAAUGCAAAGAUAAAGAAGCUUAAAGAAGGCAGAGCGGGAGGAUAGCUGCAACAUUUAGCACUAGCAACAUUUAGCACCUGGAGAACAGACUGAGUGGGUAUACACCUGCUAUGGUGAAAUGGAUUGCAUUUCUAUUUAAAUUAUAGUAAUUAUUGCUAAAUGUGUGUCUAGACAUAUAAAGUAGCAUAUGUAUAAGUUAUGUGGAUUGAUGUCCUUUUCCAUGAUGCAUAAGAGGAACUCCGAGAUUUUGGUCCAGAUUGGGGCCAUGAUACUAAAAGGUUUACAGUUGCUGCAGUACUUCCUGGUAACCAGGGAAGUGGUGUGCAUGGUAAAAGCAACCCCUUUGUUCCAUGGUCUGGAAGUAAAUACAGUGGUACCUCGGGUUACAUACGCUUCAGGUUACAUACGCUUCAGGUUACAGACUCCGCCAACCCAGAAAUAUUACCUCAGGUUAAGAACUUUGCUUCAGGAUGAGAACAGAAAUCGUGCAGCAGCAGCGUAACGGCAGCAAGAGGCCCCAUUAGCUAAAGUGGUGCUUCAGGUUAAGAAGAGUUUCAGGUUAAGAAUGGACCUCCAGAACGAAUUAAGUUCUUAACCUGAGGUACCACUGUACAGUGGUACUUUUGGCUCUCGAAUUUAAUCCCUUCUGGGACUCCGUUCGACUCCUGAAAUGGUUCAGAAACCAAGGCGCGACUUCUGAUUGGCUGCAGGAGCUUCCUGCACUCAAUUGGAAGCUGCAGAAGCAGCAGUCGGACAUUCAGCUUCC